CUAACUCUAUAUUUUCCCCGCAAAGGGACAGUUUACAAGAGGCAGGUAUAUAAAUGUAUUUCAAAUUUAUUACAAUUUAGUACAAAAAGUGUGGAAAAGUUAUUAAAAUGGCUCUUAAAUACUGCUAUACAAUUGGUGGAUUCUCCUCAGUCUAGGAAGGUCGGAUCAGCCAAUGCGAAACCCCUGCUCAGGUGGACCCUGGUGAGACAAAAAAAGAAACAGGAGACAGCAACCCAGCACCAGAAGAAGCAUGCAACACAGCAAGCACCACUCAUUCAAGAUCUUCAGAUACCACGACAAAAAAAAAUCUCACACCGUGUUAUGGUUAUAAAGACACCCCAAACCAAUGUCUCUAACAAUGUGGUCCCUUGGCAAGAAGGGGCAAAGCAUCAGUGUGGAUCCGGCCUUGUACAGGGAUAGCCUAAGCAGAAGACAUAGUUAGGGAGGAGACCCACCAGCACGGAUAACACCAGUUUAAGGAACAAUGCUACUACAAGUAGGGCACAUGGGUGGUAGGCUCAGAAGCAAAAUCACAUCACACAAACCAACCAACAAAACAAUAAAAAAAAUGCACAUUAAUCACAAGAAAACAGUGGCUGGCCUGGUCCCUUUUGGGAAAUAAACAAUCAUGUUAGUUGCCAGCCUCAUUAAACAGCAUAUCAUAGUCAACUCAAACAUGGCUAAAAAAUAUAGGCCUACUUUUCAGUAUGCUCAACUGUCCCACAGCUCAUUGACAUAUGAAGACAAAGGUGAACAUUCCGUUGCUACAGACAGAAAAAGUAUUUUAAAACAUGUUCCAAUGCAGAUAUAAAACACUCAAUGGCAUAUUAAGGCAUUUACUGAUGCAGCCCAGCAGCUCAGGUCACAAUGAGGUGAUCACAACACAUUUUAAAACUCCAUGCAGAAGCCUGUGUCCUCCAUGAAGAGUAGACACACACUUCUAGAAAUUACCCUGAUAAAACAAAAUAAAUAUUAAAAUUCAAAUGGCAGUGAUUAAUCAUGCUCUACCAUGACCAACAGUACCUACACUGAAAAGGAAGCCCAACACGCACAACAGUGUCCAGCACCAACACAAAGAGAAUCUGCCUUGCAACCAGCAGACACUUAUCACUUCCUAAUUGGUCAUGUGACUUUUCAAAACAUCAUGUGAUCCUGGGUGUGAACGUGAUGCAACUAGGUUGUGUGCCUGCCUAUGUAGAUCCCCACACUGUUUUGCUGGCAAAUAAACGGUAUCUUGGAGAAAAAAUAAACAUGGUUCUUUCACAAAUGUUACCAACAAUAUACAAAAUGGAUUGAACAUGUUUUUACUUACCCUUUAAAAAUGUUGAAAGAUAAUGUUAAUGUGAACUGAACACAAAACUAGAGACUUGUUUUUAGUAAGAUUUUAUCAGAAAAUAUUUUAGAAUUUUUAGCAUGCAAUUUAAAACAUUGUAAUUGCUUAUUAUAUAUAUAUAUAUAUAUAUAUAUAUAUAUAUAUAUAUAUAUAUAUAUAUAUGUGUGUGUGUGUGUGUGUGUGUGUGUGUGUGUGUAAAAAAAAUGUAUAUAUUUUAAUUGCUUUAAUUAUUGUUUGCCUGGUUUUAUUCUGUGUUCAUGUAACUCUUUUUAAAAAGUUUUUGGCAUAAAGUUAGCCUGCGAUGCUGACAGCACUGAACACAUGACUUUUUAUUAUGAACUAGUAGAUGGUCUUUCCCAAUGAGGCUGUCACCUCUGGCUUUUUAAACUGCAACCUUGAAACAUGCAUUUUCUGUAAACUUACUUUGAAAUAAGUAUUUUAAAAAAGUGCUAUACAUACAACAUAUAACCAUGCAAGUACUGUAGUAGUGGUUAUUAGUUACUAAGGUUUUACUGCAACAGUCAUAGUUAAACCAUGGUGAUUGUAGUAAAACUAUGGUUGAUUUUGUUUUUACUAUGGUUUUACCGCAAGAGCUGUAGUAAAAUCAUGGUUAAAUUUCAAAAGACUACAAGUAAUCCCGAAUUAUCCACUUUUGAUCAAAGCAUCUGGUAAAUGUUAAUGUAUUUGUACAUGUAAUAUGAAAUAAAUGAAAAUAUUAAUAAAGUUGCAUCUGUUCUUGAGA
rnacentral:lncRNA from 1 species